rnacentral:rRNA from 1 species
AGAGUUUGAUCCUGGCUCAGGACGAACGCUGGCGGCGUGCCUAAUACAUGCAAGUCGAGCGAGCUUGCCUAGAUGAUUUUAGUGCUUGCACUAAAUGAAACUAGAUACAAGCGAGCGGCGGACGGGUGAGUAACACGUGGGUAACCUGCCCAAGAGACUGGGAUAACACCUGGAAACAGAUGCUAAUACCGGAUAACAACACUAGACGCAUGUCUAGAGUUUGAAAGAUGGUUCUGCUAUCACUCUUGGAUGGACCUGCGGUGCAUUAGCUAGUUGGUAAGGUAACGGCUUACCAAGGCAAUGAUGCAUAGCCGAGUUGAGAGACUGAUCGGCCACAUUGGGACUGAGACACGGCCCAAACUCCUACGGGAGGCAGCAGUAGGGAAUCUUCCACAAUGGACGAAAGUCUGAUGGAGCAACGCCGCGUGAGUGAAGAAGGGUUUCGGCUCGUAAAGCUCUGUUGGUAGUGAAGAAAGAUAGAGGUAGUAACUGGCCUUUAUUUGACGGUAAUUACUUAGAAAGUCACGGCUAACUACGUGCCAGCAGCCGCGGUAAUACGUAGGUGGCAAGCGUUGUCCGGAUUUAUUGGGCGUAAAGCGAGUGCAGGCGGUUCAAUAAGUCUGAUGUGAAAGCCUUCGGCUCAACCGGAGAAUUGCAUCAGAAACUGUUGAACUUGAGUGCAGAAGAGGAGAGUGGAACUCCAUGUGUAGCGGUGGAAUGCGUAGAUAUAUGGAAGAACACCAGUGGCGAAGGCGGCUCUCUGGUCUGCAACUGACGCUGAGGCUCGAAAGCAUGGGUAGCGAACAGGAUUAGAUACCCUGGUAGUCCACGCUGUAAACGAUGAAUGCUAGGUGUUGGGGAGCAAAGCUUCUCGGUGCCGCCGCAAACGCAAUAAGCAUUCCACCUGGGGAGUACGUUCGCAAGAAUGAAACUCAAAGGAAUUGACGGGGACCCGCAAAAGCGGUGGAGCAUGUGGUUUAAUUCGAAGCAACGCGAAGAACCUUACCAAGUCUUGACAUCCCGGUGACGCAUGUAGAAAUAUAUGUUUUCUUCGGAACACUGGAGACAGGUGGUGCAUGGUUGUCGUCAGCUCGUGUCGUGAGAUGUUGGGUUAAGUCCCGCAACGAGCGCAACCCUUAUUCUUAGUAGCCAGCAGGUAAAGCUGGGCACUCUAGGGAGACUGCCAGGGAUAACCUGGAGGAAGGUGGGGAUGACGUCAAAUCAUCAUGCCCCUUAUGAUUUGGGCUACACACGUGCUACAAUGGCGUAAACAAAGGGAGGCGAAGGAGCGAUCUGGAGCGAACCCCAAAAAUAACGUCUCAGUUCGGAUUGCAGGCUGCAACCCGCCUGCAUGAAGCCGGAAUCGCUAGUAAUCGCAGAUCAGAAUGCUGCGGUGAAUACGUUCCCGGGUCUUGUACACACCGCCCGUCA